rnacentral:lncRNA from 1 species
UCAUUCUCAAAGGUCCACAAUUAAUACGAAUAUCAUAUUUGAUUAGAGGAGCAUUCUAAAGAAGCCAAAGAUCGUAGAUGGAGCAAAAAAGGUUGCACAGGACAGUAGUGGGUAGCACUUGCAUAUAGGUGAUAUGCCAACAAUUUCUACCUUUAAUCAUGAUCAUUUUGAGAUGGAGGUGAGCAAGCAUAUUUCCACACAUUUGGAGGCU